GCGAACGCUGGCGGCAGGCCUAACACAUGCAAGUCGAACGGAUCCUUCGGGAUUAGUGGCGGACGGGUGAGUAACACGUGGGAACGUGCCCUUUGGUUCGGAACAACUCAGGGAAACUUGAGCUAAUACCGGAUGUGCCCUUCGGGGGAAAGAUUUAUCGCCAUUGGAGCGGCCCGCGUCUGAUUAGCUAGUUGGUGAGGUAACGGCCCACCAAGGCGACGAUCAGUAGCUGGUCUAAGAGGAUGAUCAGCCACACUGGGACUGAGACACGGCCCAGACUCCUACGGGAGGCAGCAGUGGGGAAUCUUGCGCAAUGGGCGAAAGCCUGACGCAGCCAUGCCGCGUGAAUGAUGAAGGUCUUAGGAUUGUAAAAUUCUUUCAGCGGGGACGAUAAUGACGGUACCCGCAGAAGAAGCUCCGGCUAACUUCGUG
rnacentral:rRNA from 1 species